GAAAUGCGAUAAGUAAUGCGAAUCGCAACAGCUCGCGAGUCAUCUAAUCUUUGAACGCACCCUGCACUUUACGAAAGUAGAGUAUGUCUGUUUGAGUAUCAGUAACACCUCUCAUUCUGUUGAAUGGAAUUGAGUUACCAUACAUUUGUGGUUACUUUAAAUUUAGUUACAAUUUGACGUUGCUAAUGUUUCGUCAAAAUAAAACACUUUAAUUGAUCUCAAAUCAGACAAGACUACCCGCUGAACUUAA
rnacentral:misc_RNA from 1 species